rnacentral:rRNA from 1 species
ACGAACGCUGGCGGCAUGCCUAACACAUGCAAGUCGAACGAGACCUUCGGGUCUAGUGGCGCACGGGUGCGUAACGCGUGGGAAUCUGCCCUCUGGUACGGAAUAACUCAGGGAAACUUGAGCUAAUACCGUAUAAUGACUUCGGUCCAAAGAUUUAUCGCCUGAGGAUGAGCCCGCGUAGGAUUAGCUAGUUGGUGAGGUAAGAGCUCACCAAGGCGACGAUCCUUAGCUGGUCUGAGAGGAUGAUCAGCCACACUGGGACUGAGACACGGCCCAGACUCCUACGGGAGGCAGCAGUGGGGAAUAUUGGACAAUGGGCGCAAGCCUGAUCCAGCCAUGCCGCGUGGAUGAUGAAGGCCUUAGGGUUGUAAAGUCCUUUUAACGGGGAAGAUAAUGACGGUACCCGUAGAAUAAGCCCCGGCUAACUUCGU